rnacentral:lncRNA from 1 species
UUCAGAGAGGAGUUGAAGCCUCCGAGGCGGGGGAAGGGCUGCCCCAGCAGGUCCUGCUGGGUUGCAAAGGCACACAGCUCUGCAGGAAGAUCAGGUGCCCUCCAGCACUCCGUGCUCGCUGGUUUUCUUGUUUGCAUGGUGCCCAGUUGUGCUGAUGGUGUGAGAUCACACCUCCUCUGAGCGUGGGGAACUUGUGGAGCCCUCUUAAAUGAUAAAGUGCCAGGGCCUCACCUGCAGCCUAUGAAGCUCUCCAGGCUAGGGGUUGAAUCAGAGCUACAGCUGCCUACCUGUGCCACAGCCACAGCGAUGCCAGAUCUGAGCCGGGUCUGCAACCUACACCACAGCUCACGGCAACACUGGAUCCUUCACCCAUCAAGCAAGGCCAGGGAUCGAACCUGUGUCCUCAUGGAUACUGGUCAGGUUUGUUUCUGCUGAGCCACAACGGGAAGCCCAGCAAAGGUCGCAUCUAACGUAGAUAAGGAGAACAGUCUUAAGAUUCAGAGAGCGUGCCAGACAAGGGUACUGAAGUUUAUAGAGCAAAUAUGCUCCGGGUUGUUGUUUCUGAACAUUGUAUAUGGCUGGAAAAUCAGGCUCACACAAAAUCAGAGUCAUGCCAUAAACCCAACUGGACUGCAUGCAGCCACCUGUUGCCACGGCUUCUACAGGACACAUUUCCUCAAGAGCAAGAGGGAGCCUUGUCCUCAGGCAGCACUGCAGCAUGAUCCACUCUGGAUGGAAUUCCGAUGCUGAUUUUCUCCAAUUGUCUGGAGAUUAGACAGUUCAGAGAUAGGACUCUCAGGGUGAAUCCAUACGUGCUGAUAAUUACAAACAUGAAAAAAUGUAGCUCUCAAGUCACGCCACUAGGAGCGCGGGGUGGCAAAGAUUUGGCCCUUCUCUUUCUCAGCGGAAUCUUUAGUUACCAUAGAGCAAGGACUCUGGUGCAUCCAGAAUGACUAAAGGAAUGAAGCAGAAAUCAGCUUACAAAUUAUUUCUAAAAUUCGGUAGUUUCAUCGAGUAUGAUUUCUUACUGAUUGCUAACCAUUCAUAAGUUUGCAAAUGUUGACAAAAACUAAUUUACAAAUAAUGCACCAAUCCUAAACCUUAUUUUAGAUUAAAGCAGUUUUUCAAUUCGAGAUGCCAGGGCAUUGUUCGCAUUUUCCUUGCAGAGACGUCUUAGUUUUCAUCAACAUUAUUUUUUCCUUAGCCUGUUCUAUUCAGGGAAUGAUAAGUUAGCUUUUAUUACAUUUCUGUCCUUUGCUGGGAUUGGACAUAAAACCGGGCUGCUUUGGGUCCUCUGAGAAGCAGACACUGGGGAAACAGUCAGACAUGCGGGAUUUAUGGGGGAUUCGACCCCCAGCCUGGGAACCUCCAUAUGCCGCGGGAGCGACCCCCAAAAUGGCAGAAAGACCAAAAAAAAAAAGAAGAAGGUGAAGGAGGUUUCCUAGACACAAGUCCAAGAAGGGCUUGGCUGGGGAAUGGGUGUGAGCAGUUUCUGGUUCUGCAGAAGGAGCGGGCACUGAUGCCCACCAGGCCCAGGCCCUGCAAGAGCCUCUGGGGCAGGUGUGGCUCCCGAGGCCAGCAGCUGGACCUGCCCGCCAGACGGCUCCCUGCAGCUGCAGGGCAGAGCAGCGCAUCUCCCGGAGGCCACACCCACCUCCUCCAAGACCUGCUCUCUGAUUUCCAGACGCUUCCAGCCUGGCUGGGAGGCAGAGUGGGCACUUCCCCUGGGCCCAUGGCCAGGGUGCCUGUGGCGGCAGGUGGGAAACAGACGUGGCCUUUGGAGCGAAUACUUGACCAAUAAAGAGACGGACGUGGUACCCGGCCCCUGAUGAUUAUCCGCAGCAGAACCGCGUUUCCCUGCGGUGCAGCACAGGCUCGUAUGGGGCCUGUGGAGCCCAGCGCCGAGGCAGCAGUGGGGAAAAGAGUGAACGAGACAGGCGCAGGGCCACCGUCACCACCCUUCCCAGUCACAAGCUCAAGUGACUUUGUUUCGUUUUGUUUUUGUCUUUUUGCCUUUUCGAGGGCUGCUCCCAGGGCGUAUGGAGGUUCCCAGGCGAGGGGUCUAAUUGGAGCUAUAGCCACAGGCCCACACCACAGCCACAGCAAUGUGGGAUCCAAGCUGCAUCUGCGACCUACACCACGGCUCACGGCAACACGGAUCCUUGACCCACUGGGCAAGGGCAGGGAUCGAGCCCACAACCUCAUGGUUCCUAGUGGGAUUCGUUAACCACUGCGCCACGACAGGAACUCCAGGCUUAAGUGACUUUGGAUCGCUCCACUCUCAGCCCCUCUCAGAUGGACGGGGGCUCUUGGAAGACACAAGCGAUGGUGUCGUUUCUCUGAAUUCCCCGUGUGCAGCACCGAGCCGGCCCCUAGGUUCCUUGAGGAUGAGCGGAGUGUUGAGACAUUGACUAUGUCGCCAUCACCGUUAUCGCCCCUGCAGUGUCCCAAACGGGUGUGCAUCCUGUAUCCUCCUCCUUGGGAAUCCCUUCGAGGGCAGAGAGACUCAUCCUCCGUGUGCCAGGGCCACUCACACCCAGCGCAGCUUUCCGGUCCCCUCCUGGCCUCUCCCGGCCUUGCGGACUCGGCCCUUUUCCAUUAUUCCUGCCAUUUGUCUCCAGCCUUCUUCCGGUAGGAAGGCUGUUUCUCCCCCCAGGAAAGAGCUGGACAUCAGACGGAGGUGGACACGCCUGCAGGUCCCGUCUCUGACGUCGGGGCUCCGGCUGUUUGCCGCCCCCCGGGGAGGCUCCAGGAUGACAAUCAGAGGUGAGCGGCCAACGAAACACACCCUCGUGACUCGCCUUGGGGACCUUCUUCCACUUCCAGGUCAUGUCUGCUCAAUGCCUCCAUUACGAAAAUAUUGGAAAUGGAAAGAAAAAUGCAGAGAGAGACCACUGCAAACUGCCACGUCACCGUGUUUGCUUCAUUCCUUUAAAGGCAUCAAGCAGCCCAGUUGAGUCUUAUGAACUUCCUACCGUAGUUACUCAUCACCACUGGGCACGUGGAAAUAAAAUACUUAAUAAGAUACUUUAUUUUAUGAAGUAAAAUACAAUCUACACUUAUAGAAAACAUAAAUUAAUACAAUGUAAACAAAUGUAUUUGUACAUAUUUAAUACAUUUGUUUAUAUAAAAAUAAAAAUAAAAUACUUAAUUUUGUUAAGUAAAAUAUAAUCUGUAUUUAUAUAAAGUGCAAAUAUUUAUAAAAUGUAAAUGAAUGAAUUUGUACAUAUUUAACACAUUUAUUUAUAUAAAAAUAAAAAUAAAAUACUUAAUUUUAUGAAGUAAAAUAUAAUCUAUAUUUAUUUAAAAUUAAAUAUUUAUAAAAUAUACAAGUAUUGGUAUAUAUUUAAAACGUGUGUAUUUAUAUAAGCAUAAGAAAAUACUCAAUAAAAUGCUUAACAAAAUAAAAA